rnacentral:rRNA from 1 species
CCAGCAGCCGCGGUAAUACAGAGGUCUCGAGCGUUGUUCGGAUUCAUUGGGCGUAAAGGGCGCGUAGGCGGCGGGGUAAGUCUGGUGUGAAAUCUAGGAGCUCAACUCCUAAACUGCACUGGAUACUGCUCUGCUAGAGGACUGGAGAGGAGACUGGAAUUCACGGUGUAGCAGUGAAAUGCGUAGAUAUCGUGAGGAAGACCAGUGGCGAAGGCGGGUCUCUGGACAGUUCCUGACGCUGAGGCGCGAAGGCCAGGGGAGCAAACGGGAUUAGAUACCCCGGUAGUCCUGGCAGUAAACGGUGCACGUUUGGUGUGCGCGGAUUCGACCCCGUGCGUGCCGGAGCUAACGCGUUAAACGUGCCGCCUGAGAAGUACGGUCGCAAGAUUAAAACUCAAAGAAAUUGACGGGGGCCCGCACAAGCGGUGGAGUAUGUGGCUUAAUUCGAUGCAACGCGAAGAACCUUACCUGGGCUUGACAUGCAUUGUGUCGUCGGUGAAAGCCGACUAGUGUAGCAAUACACGCUUUGCACAGGUGCUGCAUGGCUGUCGUCAGCUCGUGUCGUGAGAUGUUGGGUUAAGUCCCGCAACGAGCGCAACCCUUGUGAACUGUUGC